AUCGAACGCUGGCGGAAUGCUUUACACAUGCAAGUCGAACGGUAGAGGGGGCAACCCCUUGAGAGUGGCGAACGGGUGAGUAAUAUAUCGGAACGUGCCCGGUCGUGGGGGAUAACGUAGCGAAAGCUACGCUAAUACCGCAUACGAUCUACGGAUGAAAGCGGGGGAUCGCAAGACCUCGCGCGAUUGGAGCGGCCGAUAUCAGAUUAGGUAGUUGGUGAGGUAAAGGCUCACCAAGCCGACGAUCUGUAGCUGGUCUGAGAGGACGACCAGCCACACUGGGACUGAGACACGGCCCAGACUCCUACGGGAGGCAGCAGUGGGGAAUUUUGGACAAUGGGCGCAAGCCUGAUCCAGCAAUGCCGCGUGCAGGAUGAAGGCCUCGGUUGUAACU
rnacentral:rRNA from 1 species